rnacentral:rRNA from 1 species
AUUGAACGCUGGCGGCAGGCCUAACACAUGCAAGUCGAACGGUAACAGGAAGCAGCUUGCUGCUUUGCUGACGAGUGGCGGACGGGUGAGUAAUGUCUGGGAACUUGCUGAUGGAGGGGGGUAAACACCUGAAAACGGUGCCAAAACCGGCUUACCUCGGAAAGCCCAAGAAGGGGGACUUCGGGGCUCCUUCCCUCCGAAGGUGCCAGAUGGGAUUAGCUAGUAGGGGGGGUAAAGGCUCACCUAGGCGACGAUCCCUAGCUGGUCUGAGAGGAUGACCAGCCACACUGGAACUGAGACACGGUCCAGACUCCUACGGGAGGCAGCAGUGGGGAAUAUUGCACAAUGGGCGCAAGCCUGAUGCAGCCAUGCCGCGUGUAUGAAGAAGGCCUUCGGGUUGUAAAGUACUUUCAGCGGGGAGGAAGGGAGUAAAGUUAAUACCUUUGCUCAUUGACGUUACCCGCAGAAGAAGCACCGGCUAACUCCGUG